rnacentral:lncRNA from 1 species
UGUCUGUUAUGCAGAUUUAUUUCAGUUUUUUAUUUUGGUUAAUCUUUUUCUUGGUGUUGUAUAAAUUUACCAUGAGUUCUAGGUCAAGAAAAAGUUAAUCCAAGUGGAAUCUAAUUCUGGAUAACUCUAUUAUCUGCCUCGUGAUGCAAUGAAGCAUGGAGAAGUUGAUUAACAUUUUAGAACUCGUUGAAUCAGAAUUUGAGUAUUAAGAAUUGGACACAAUAUAGAAUAAAAUCUCUCAAUAUUUUAUUUCAUAAGAAUUAUCAACAGAAAAAACUUAUCUCAGUUACUGUGAUAUUGAAG